rnacentral:lncRNA from 1 species
GUAAAAGUUUGAUUGUUGAGCUCUGUGGAAAUCAGGUGCCCUGGUGCACCUCUUCCAGCAGGGAAACAUGGCAUGGCAACAUGGCACCCACCCCAUGGCCAAACGUCCCCCCAGACACAUCCCCUGGGCAAAGGAACUUCCACAUCUCCCUCAGAACACUUCAGCCAAGUCAGGGUGAUGUGUAAAAGUGCCAGUGGUUCAGCUCUGUGGAAAUCAGGUGCCUGGUGCAUCUGCAGGGAAACACCAGGAAUGGGCAUGGGAACAUGGAUCCCACCUGCCCCAUGGCCAAACAUCUCCCCAGACACAACCCCUGGCAAAAGUGCUUCAACAUCUCCCUCAGAACACUUCAACCCAGUUAGGGUGAGCUCCAUUGUUCAGCUCUGUGGAAAUCAGGUGCCCUGGUGCACCUCCUCAUGCAGGGAAACACCAGGAAUGGGCAUGGCAACAUGGCACCCAUGGCCAAACAUCUCCCCAGACACAACCCCUGGCAAAGGAGCUUCAACAUCUCCCUCAGAACACUUCAACCAAGUCAGGGUGAGCUGGUAAAAGCUCCAUUGUUCUGUGGAAAUCAGGAGUGUUCCCAAUAAAGAAUGGAUAAUGAGCCUUAAAACCCUCA